CCACUGACCUCUCCCUAAUCGGAGAUUUCCCUUCGGGGACAGUGGUGACAGGUGGUGCAUGGUGUCGUCAGCUCGUGUCGUGAGAUGUUGGGUUAAGUCCCGCAACGAGCGCAACCCUUGCCCUUUAGUUGCCAGCAUUAAGUUGGGCACUCUAGAGGGACUGCCGAGGAUAACUCGGAGGAAGGUGGGGAUGACGUCAAAUCAUCAUGCCCCUUAUGCUUAGGGCUACACACGUGCUACAAUGGGUGGUACAGAGGGUUGCCAAGCCGCGAGGUGGAGCUAAUCCCUUAAAGCCAUUCUCAGUUCGGAUUGUAGGCUGAAACUCGCCUACAUGAAGCUGGAGUUACUAGUAAUCGCAGAUCAGAAUGCUGCGGUGAAUGCGUUCCCGGGUCUUGUACACACCGCCCGUCACACCAUGGAAGUUGGGGGCGCCCGAAGCCGGUUAGCUAACCUUUUAGGAAGCGGCCGUCGAAGGUGAAACCAAUGACUGGGGUGAAGUCGUAACAAGGUAACCUA
rnacentral:rRNA from 1 species